UACGUAGGGGGCCAGCGUUGUUCGGAAUUACUGGGUGUAAAGGGUUCGUAGGCGGUGUGGCAAGUUGGGAGUGAAAUCUCUGGGCUCAACCCAGAGACGGCUUCCAAAACUGCCGUGCUUGAGUGUGGGAGAGGCUCGUGGAAUUGCAGGUGUAGCGGUGAAAUGCGCAGAUAUCAGGAGGAACACCAAUGGCGAAGGCAGCUCGCUGGGACGUGACUGACGCUGAGACGCGAAAGCGUGGGGAGCAAACAGG
rnacentral:rRNA from 1 species